UACGGGGGGGGCAAGCGUUGUUCGGAAUUACUUGGCGUAAAGGGUGCGUAGGUGGCGCUGUAAGUCGGGUGUGAAAUUUCGGAGCUUAACUCCGAAACUGCAUUCGAUACUGCGGUGCUUGAGGACUGGAGAGGAGACUGGAAUUCAUGGUGUAGCAGUGAAAUGCGUAGAGAUCAUGAGGAAGACCAGUGGCGAAGGCGGGUCUCUGGACAGUUCCUGACACUGAGGCACGAAGGCCAGGGGAGCAAACGGG
rnacentral:rRNA from 1 species